GACGUAGGGGGCCAGCGUUGUUCGGAAUUACUGGGUGUAAAGGGUUCGUAGGCGGUGUGGCAAGUUGGGAGUGAAAUCUCGUGGGCUCAACCCAGAGGCUGCUUCCAAAACUGCUGUGCUUGAGUGUGAGAGAGGCUCGUGGAAUUGCAGGUGUAGCGGUGAAAUGCGUAGAUAUCUGCAGGAACACCCGUGGCGAAAGCGGCGAGCUGGAUCACUACUGACGCUGAGGAACGAAAGCUAGGGGAGCAAACAGG
rnacentral:rRNA from 1 species